UAAGCGACUAAGCGUACACGGUGGAUGCCCUGGCAGUCAGAGGCGAUGAAGGACGUGCUAAUCUGCGAUAAGCGUCGGUAAGGUGAUAUGAACCGUUAUAACCGGCGAUUUCCGAAUGGGGAAACCCAGUGUGAUUCGUCACACUAUCAUUAACUGAAUCCAUAGGUUAAUGAGGCGAACCGGGGGAACUGAAACAUCUAAGUACCCCGAGGAAAAGAAAUCAACCGAGAUUCCCCCAGUAGCGGCGAGCGAACGGGGAGCAGCCCAGAGCCUGAAUCAGUGUGUGUGUUAGUGGAAGCGUCUGGAAAGGCGUGCGAUACAGGGUGACAGCCCCGUACACAAAAAUGCACAUGCUGUGAGCUCGAUGAGUAGGGCGGGACACGUGGUAUCCUGUCUGAAUAUGGGGGGACCAUCCUCCAAGGCUAAAUACUCCUGACUGACCGAUAGUGAACCAGUACCGUGAGGGAAAGGCGAAAAGAACCCCGGCGAGGGGAGUGAAAAAGAACCUGAAACCGUGUACGUACAAGCAGUGGGAGCACGCUUAGGCGUGUGACUGCGUACCUUUUGUAUAAUGGGUCAGCGACUUAUAUUCUGUAGCAAGGUUAACCGAAUAGGGGAGCCGAAGGGAAACCGAGUCUUAACUGGGCGUUAAGUUGCAGGGUAUAGACCCGAAACCCGGUGAUCUAGCCAUGGGCAGGUUGAAGGUUGGGUAACACUAACUGGAGGACCGAACCGACUAAUGUUGAAAAAUUAGCGGAUGACUUGUGGCUGGGGGUGAAAGGCCAAUCAAACCGGGAGAUAGCUGGUUCUCCCCGAAAGCUAUUUAGGUAGCGCCUCGUGAAUUCAUCUCCGGGGGUAGAGCACUGUUUCGGCAAGGGGGUCAUCCCGACUUACCAACCCGAUGCAAACUGCGAAUACCGGAGAAUGUUAUCACGGGAGACACACGGCGGGUGCUAACGUCCGUCGUGAAGAGGGAAACAACCCAGACCGCCAGCUAAGGUCCCAAAGUCAUGGUUAAGUGGGAAACGAUGUGGGAAGGCCCAGACAGCCAGGAUGUUGGCUUAGAAGCAGCCAUCAUUUAAAGAAGCGUAAUAGCUCACUGGUCGAGUCGGCCUGCGCGGAAGAUGUAACGGGGCUAAACCAUGCACCGAAGCUGCGGCAGCGACGCUGAUGCGUUGUUGGGUAGGGGAGCGUUCUGUAAGCCUGCGAAGGUGUGCUGUGAGGCAUGCUGGAGGUAUCAGAAGUGCGAAUGCUGACAUAAGUAACGAUAAAGCGGGUGAAAAGCCCGCUCGCCGGAAGACCAAGGGUUCCUGUCCAACGUUAAUCGGGGCAGGGUGAGUCGACCCCUAAGGCGAGGCCGAAAGGCGUAGUCGAUGGGAAACAGGUUAAUAUUCCUGUACUUGGUGUUACUGCGAAGGGGGACGGAGAAGGCUAUGUUGGCCGGGCGACGGUUGUCCCGGUUUAAGCGUGUAGGCUGGUUUUCCAGGCAAAUCCGGAAAAUCAAGGCUGAGGCGUGAUGACGAGGCACUACGGUGCUGAAGCAACAAAUGCCCUGCUUCCAGGAAAAGCCUCUAAGCAUCAGGUAACAUCAAAUCGUACCCCAAACCGACACAGGUGGUCAGGUAGAGAAUACCAAGGCGCUUGAGAGAACUCGGGUGAAGGAACUAGGCAAAAUGGUGCCGUAACUUCGGGAGAAGGCACGCUGAUAUGUAGGUGAAGUCCCUCGCGGAUGGAGCUGAAAUCAGUCGAAGAUACCAGCUGGCUGCAACUGUUUAUUAAAAACACAGCACUGUGCAAACACGAAAGUGGACGUAUACGGUGUGACGCCUGCCCGGUGCCGGAAGGUUAAUUGAUGGGGUUAGCGCAAGCGAAGCUCUUGAUCGAAGCCCCGGUAAACGGCGGCCGUAACUAUAACGGUCCUAAGGUAGCGAAAUUCCUUGUCGGGUAAGUUCCGACCUGCACGAAUGGCGUAAUGAUGGCCAGGCUGUCUCCACCCGAGACUCAGUGAAAUUGAACUCGCUGUGAAGAUGCAGUGUACCCGCGGCAAGACGGAAAGACCCCGUGAACCUUUACUAUAGCUUGACACUGAACAUUGAGCCUUGAUGUGUAGGAUAGGUGGGAGGCUUUGAAGUGUGGACGCCAGUCUGCAUGGAGCCGACCUUGAAAUACCACCCUUUAAUGUUUGAUGUUCUAACGUUGACCCGUAAUCCGGGUUGCGGACAGUGUCUGGUGGGUAGUUUGACUGGGGCGGUCUCCUCCUAAAGAGUAACGGAGGAGCACGAAGGUUGGCUAAUCCUGGUCGGACAUCAGGAGGUUAGUGCAAUGGCAUAAGCCAGCUUGACUGCGAGCGUGACGGCGCGAGCAGGUGCGAAAGCAGGUCAUAGUGAUCCGGUGGUUCUGAAUGGAAGGGCCAUCGCUCAACGGAUAAAAGGUACUCCGGGGAUAACAGGCUGAUACCGCCCAAGAGUUCAUAUCGACGGCGGUGUUUGGCACCUCGAUGUCGGCUCAUCACAUCCUGGGGCUGAAGUAGGUCCCAAGGGUAUGGCUGUUCGCCAUUUAAAGUGGUACGCGAGCUGGGUUUAGAACGUCGUGAGACAGUUCGGUCCCUAUCUGCCGUGGGCGCUGGAGAACUGAGGGGGGCUGCUCCUAGUACGAGAGGACCGGAGUGGACGCAUCACUGGUGUUCGGGUUGUCAUGCCAAUGGCACUGCCCGGUAGCUAAAUGCGGAAGAGAUAAGUGCUGAAAGCAUCUAAGCACGAAACUUGCCCCGAGAUGAGUUCUCCCUGACUCCUUGAGAGUCCUGAAGGAACGUUGAAGACGACGACGUUGAUAGGCCGGGUGUGUAAGCGCAGCGAUGCGUUGAGCUAACCGGUACUAAUGAACCGUGAGGCUUAACCU
rnacentral:rRNA from 1 species